CCAAGUCCUGGGCCUCCACUCUGAGUGAUGUCCUUGAAGGAGAAGAGGAAAAGUACAACCUCCCCCAUCUCAUUCUUGAUGGGCAUCAUGUCCAGGAGGCACCAAAAUGCUGAGCCUGCAGGUGUGGAGAGGAGAUGCUGCAGUCGUCGGGGAGCAGACCCCAAAGCACCUGGCCACUUCGUCCCACCUCCGCGUCUUGGAUACUCCCGUACACGCCCACAGCAGAGCCCUGCCCGAGAGUGGGCGGCUCUCAAGGACUCCUCCGCUUUUCCGCACAAAGAACCUUUCCUGCCUCCUGUCACACACCCCCAACCUUGGCUGCCCGCACUCUUGGUCCUCUCCACGUCUCCCCUCCCAGGGCGCUGCCAGUCCUGCUCCUUUACUGGGGCUCUGGGAGUUCUUAGACCCUCCUAGCCCAUUCUCCUCGCCUUGGGUCUCUCUCAUCAUAUUCAGGAGACCCACGCGAGCGCCAAAGGAGACUUGACCUCUAGCUCGAACCCUCAGCUCCAGCCUCCACCCAACUCACGCGUGCCGUCGAAGCGGGUGGCGAUGGUGUCCAGGAAGGUGUUCUGCGGGGCCAGCAACCCCUUCAUGACCGGCAUGGCCUCGGGGCGCAGAUUCCAGGCGCAGCGCUGGGGGCGUUCAGCGCGGCCGGGCCGGAGGGGGCGCGCUGCCGGCGGGGCCGGGGCGCCCCAUGCGCCCGCCUGCCUCUUCCCCUCCCUCUAGGCGCCGCCG